rnacentral:tRNA from 1 species
UGAAAAGGCGAUAUUCGUAAAGUAAGGCUGCUAACUUUAUUUCAAGGGUGUGGAUUCCCUUCUUUUUAU